GGGGAAGGGGCUGAGCAGAGAAUGAAGGUGGGAGAACACGGGCGAAAAUGUAGUCUUGAUAAGAAAUGUUGAGGACCUGAAGCAGUGGGACUGGAUAAUAGGAGCAGAUUUGACAGCUAUUAAGUUGUUAGAAUUAUUAGGACUUGGCAAUUGACUGGAUUUGAGUGUUUAGAAGAAGCAGGAGGCAAGGAGGAAUCAGAGAUUUCUGAAUUGGGUAAUUGGCUUACUCUCUUUAUGCAUUUAAUCAAGAGGAGGAUCCAGUUUGGGGGAAAUAUGCAAAAUUAUUUUGGGACAUUUUCAUGCAGCUUGGUAUGUAGCUGAGGCUCAGAAAGAGGAGUCUAGGACAAAAUUUGUAUUUGAAAGUUUCCAGAAGGGAUAAAAUUUGAAGCCAUAGAAGUAUAUUACAUUGUCCAGAAUUUCUUAUCUACUUACUAUAAGCUAAAGCAAGACAGAAAACACAUUUCCCUGAAUGAGUUAAAAACACUUUCUUCGGAUAUCGCAGGUAUAAAUUGUGAUCUACCAAAGAAAGGGUUCUCUGGGUUUGGGUUGAACCAAACCAAAUGUCUUAAGGAUCAUUUCUUCAGUAUGAUAUAGAAGGUACCAUCGAGAGGACCUCUUGUUUCUGGAGGUAGACUCCUAUAAAAUCAUGCAUGCGCUCAGGAAGCUAGAAAAUAUCUUUGUAGUGGACUGGGUUAGACACACAGCCAUAGGAAGUUUUCCUGGGCUGAGAAAAUACUACCAGGCCAACUUCCUCCAUUAAGUUUUCUCUGGAAGUUGUCCUUCCUUGAAUCUACUCUAGAAUAUUUAUAGACAGGCUAGCAGUCAAUUUUUAAUUUUUUCAUGGAUGCACUUUCUUACAUCUCCUCAGGCAAGCAAACUACAAGACACUGGACAUCAGACAUCGUCAAACCCAGCUCCUUAUCUCUGCCUCUUCUUUGUCUAGUUUCCCCACAGUUAUUACUAAAUACAGACUUGAAGCACAAAGAAUUUUGGAGACUUCAGUUUCCGCUCAGAGGAACUAACCAGGGAGGUUUGGACUUUCCUGCCUCUAAUAAGGACAGUGAAAUGUGAUUGGAAGUGGCAGUGGUUGUCUGAUAGCGGAAGCUCCAUCCACCGAGGUUCUUAAGUGAGAAUGUCUUGAAUAGAGUCAACAUACCCUAACUUCCACCAACCUUUGAUAUAAAUGCAGCAUGAGUAAGAAAUAAACAUUUAUUGUUUUAAUCCACCCAGAUUUUUGGAUUGUCAAUUACCAUAGUGCAACUAGCCU
rnacentral:lncRNA from 1 species